rnacentral:misc_RNA from 1 species
GAUGAAGAAUGCAGCGAAAUGCGAUACUUGGUGUGAAUUGCAGAAUCCCGUGAACCAUCGAGUCUUUGAACGCAAGUUGCGCCCGAAGCCAUUAGGCCGAGGGCACGCCUGCCUGGGUGUCACACGUCGUUGCCCCCCCAUCUACUCCUUCGGGAUUGCGGGGGGCGGAUGAUGGCCUCCUGUGCGCCUCGUCGCGCGGUUGGCAUAAAUGCCAAGUCCUCGGCGACGCACGCCACGACAAUCGGUGGUUGCGAAACCUCGGUUGCCCGUCGUGUGCGGUCGUCGCGCAUCGAGGGCUCGAAAAAAUUGCCGGGCUCCGGCUCGGCUUUCAACGCGACCCCAGGUCAGGCGGGGUUACCCGCUGAAUUUAAGCAUAUCAAUAAGCGGAGGA